UUGACUUGCAAAUGAUAAUGAUUAUUAUUGCAACCACUGGUCGCGAGAUCAGUCGAUAGUCCAGAAGGCCUUAGGUCGGACUUCUGGGGUAUCUCCUCAUCAGGCUAAUCACGGUUUUUGACCCGGCUCCUGCCGGGUCUUUUUUUG
rnacentral:sRNA from 1 species